GAUGAACGCUGGCGGCGUGCCUAAUACAUGCAAGUCGAGCGAACAGACGAGGAGCUUGCUCCUCUGACGUUAGCGGCGGACGGGUGAGUAACACGUGGAUAACCUACCUAUAAGACUGGGAUAACUUCGGGAAACCGGAGCUAAUACCGGAUAAUAUAUUGAACCGCAUGGUUCAAUAGUGAAAGACGGUUUUGCUGUCACUUAUAGAUGGAUCCGCGCCGCAUUAGCUAGUUGGUAAGGUAACGGCUUACCAAGGCAACGAUGCGUAGCCGACCUGAGAGGGUGAUCGGCCACACGGGAAGUGAGACACGGCCCAGACUCCUACGGGAGGAAGCAGUAGAGAAUCUUACGGGAGGGGCGAGAGCCUGACGGAGCAACGCCGCGUGAGUGAUGAAGGUCUUCGGAUCGGAAAGCGCUGUAAUUAGGAGAGAAGUAAUGUGUAAGUAACUAUGCACAUCUUGACGGUACCUGAUCAGUAAGCCACGGCUAACUACGUG
rnacentral:rRNA from 1 species